rnacentral:lncRNA from 1 species
AAAUCAUUAAUAAAAUCUUUUAAAAACUAAAAAAAACCCUAAAAUUCUAAAAAAAACUCAAAAUUAUUUUUAAAAACCUAAAACAACUGCACAUAAUAAAAAUAAUCUCUAGAACCCUAAAAAGACGCUCAAAACCCCUAAAAGACUAAAAAAAACCCUAUAAUGCUAAAAAAAACUUCUAGAACCCUAAGAAAGUAAAAUUAUUUUAAAAAAAACCUAAAACCCCAAAAAUCCUCCAAAAAAUAAAAAAAAUAAAUAAAAUCCUUAAAAAUACAUAAACGAACCCUAAAACACUAAAAUACCCAAAAAUCCUAAAAAAUAAACAAAAUAAAAAACUCUAAAACACUAAAAGAACCCUAUAAUUUUGAAAAACUCAAGAACACAAAAAAGACCCCCAAAAAUCCCUAAAACCAUAAAAAAACAAAAUUCUU